GCCUAGAUCGCUCAGUCGGUAGAGCAUCAGACUUUUAAUCUGAGGGUCCAGGGUUCAAGUCCCUGUUUGGUUG
rnacentral:tRNA from 1 species